GGAAAGUUGCCAGAGUGGACGAUUGGGCUUGAUUGGAGAUCAAGUGUGCGGGUAACUGCACCAUAGGUUCGAAUCCUAUACUUUCCG
rnacentral:tRNA from 1 species